UUUUUUCAGCUGACAGAUUCCUCUUUAUAUUCCCUUAUUCUCUUCAUACAGGGCACGACUGAUUUCUAUAAAAGGGAACACACUUUUCAUUUAGGGGAGAAAAAUUUAUCUACACAUUACACUCUCACUCUCACACACACUCAAGAGCAAAAGAAAGGCAUCUUCUCUGAUAUAGAACACUAAAUAUUCCAUAAAAGAAAAAAAAAAGUAGGAUAGAGAGGCUAUUUCUGAAUUGUUUGAGGCAGUGUUCAUUCCUUUUCAUAUUGCUGGGUUUCUAAAUAUUCUGAAUCGAAACUACUAUUGUUCUCUGCAUAGUUGGACUCCAAUCUGUUUUUUCCGACCUCUACUGGGUUUUCUUUUCCUUUAAGCCUAAUCCUCAAGUUAUUAGGUUAAUCUCGUGAUUUAAUCUCAGUUAUGAGGCAGAAGGUUAAGCAAAUGUGAGGCAGAAGGAGAAUACUGAUUUAUGAGGUUUUAGUGUUGUAUAGUUAACUCUUAUUGUAAUAUUCAUCUAGGGCUAUUACUGUAAUAAUUUUGAUUGACUCAAUGAAGAUAAGCAGAUGUUGGAUUUUGUAUAAUCUGUGAUUUGAUUUAAUCACUCUUUGGCAUGGUAGUUGGAUAUA